CCUACGGGGGGCAGCAGUGAGGAAUAUUGGUCAAUGGACGAGAGUCUGAACCAGCCAAGUAGCGUGAAGGAUGACUGCCCUAUGGGUUGUAAACUUCUUUUAUAUGGGAAUAAAAUGUUCCACGUGUGGGAUUUUGUAUGUACCAUAUGAAUAAGGAUCGGCUAACUCCGUGCCAGCAGCCGCGGUAAUACGGAGGAUCCGAGCGUUAUCCGGAUUUAUUGGGUUUAAGGGGAGCGUAGGUGGAUUGUUAAGUCAGUUGUGAAAGUUUGCGGCUCAACCGUAAAAUUGCAGUUGAAACUGGCAGUCUUGAGUACAGUAGAGGUGGGCGGAAUUCGUGGUGUAGCGGUGAAAUGCGUAGAUAUCACGAAGAACUCCGAUUGCGAAGGCAGUUCACUGGACUGCAACUGACACUGAGGCUCGAAAGUGUGGGUAUCAAACAGGAUUAGAUACCCGUGUAGUC
rnacentral:rRNA from 1 species